rnacentral:rRNA from 1 species
UACGUAGGGUGCGAGCGUUGUCCGGAAUUAUUGGGCGUAAAGAGCUCGUAGGCGGUCUGUCGCGUCGGCUGUGAAAACCCGGAGCUCAACUCCGGGCCUGCAGUCGAUACGGGCAGACUGGAGUUCGGCAGGGGAGACUGGAAUUCCUGGUGUAGCGGUGAAAUGCGUAGAGAUCCGGAAGAACACCGGUGGCGAAGGCGGCCUGCUGGGCAGUUUUGCUGACACUGAGGCGCGACAGCGUGGGGAGCAAACAGG